GACGAACGCUGGCGGCGUGCUUAACACAUGCAAGUCGAACGCUGAAGCUUGGUGCUUGCACUGGGUGGAUGAGUGGCGAACGGGUGAGUAAUACGUGAGUAACCUGCCCUUGACUCUGGGAUAAGCCUGGGAAACUGGGUCUAAUACUGGAUACGACAUGUCACCGCAUGGUGGUGUGUGGAAAGGGUUUUACUGGUUUUGGAUGGGCUCACGGCCUAUCAGCUUGUUGGUGGGGUAAUGGCUCACCAAGGCGACGACGGGUAGCCGGCCUGAGAGGGUGACCGGCCACACUGGGACUGAGACACGGCCCAGACUCCUACGGGAGGCAGCAGUGGGGAAUAUUGCACAAUGGGCGGAAGCCUGAUGCAGCGACGCCGCGUGAGGGAUGACGGCCUUCGGGUUGUAAACCUCUUUCAGCACGGAAGAAGCGAAAGUG
rnacentral:rRNA from 1 species